UACGUAGGGAGCAAGCGUUGUCCGGAAUCAUUGGGCGUAAAGGGCGCGUAGGCGGCUUCAUAAGUCUUGGGUGAAAGCCCUCGGCUCAACCGAGGAAUUGCCUUGGAUACUGUGAGGCUCGAGGCUGGAAGAGGGCAGUGGAAUUCCCGGUGUAGCGGUGAAAUGCGUAGAUAUACGGGAGGAACACCAGUGGCGAAGGCGGCUGCCUGGGCCAGUUCUGACGCUGAGGCGCGAAAGCGUGGGGAGCAAACAGGG
rnacentral:rRNA from 1 species